UGAAGCAAUUUUAGCAAGCAGAGAACCUGAAGCCCUUGAACACAGACGAGUAUUUGAGCGUCAAACUAUCCAGCCUAUCGGAACGGCAGCAAUAGUCAGCUGUAUGUAACGUGGAGUGAACUGCCUUGUAGCUAAGCAAUGCAGCAUGGGGAGUUUCACGUUAACCAUUCUGCUGAGUAUCCUUGUAUUAGCAGUCGUAUUGCUAAAUAUUGCCACUUCUGAAGUAGUUGUUAUCAAAAUUCGAGACAGAGUGAAGAUACAAAGAGGGCACCACUAGUAGCAGAAUUUCGUGGCAUCGUAUGCAAAUUUCACAUCUGAGGCCACUCAGCUGUGGAAAAUACAGCUCUCAGCCCUAUUGUAUUUCUAAUGGAUUUCCAGCUACUUAAACUGAAGCUUGUGUAAACUGCAAAAUAACUGAAUGCAUAUAACAUCAUAAGCUAAACAUGAAGCUGAGUUACAAUGUUUAACUAAUUUAAAAACAGUCUUGCUCAGAAACUGAUCAAUAAAAAUAUACAUCCUA